GUUAUGCACCACCGCAUUUACGCUCUCCCAAGCAGCGCCGCACGCUUGACGGACACUACCCUUGUGUGCCCCGCCGUCGCCAAGGAUGAGUUGUCCUUACGAGCAAUCGACACCAGCCAUCUCCUCUCCUCUACCCACUCGCGCUCUUUGCCAUCGCCUCGCCCGGGUGAAGCUUCUGCUUGCGCAUGCCAACAGCCAUGUCUUCGCACAGACAUGUUGGCAUGUCACUUCAAGAUCAAUGAUGUUGCCUACCGUGGUUGCCUUACCACUACUUUGGCCGACCGAACACCACCCUUCUCCCGACCGUGCAAUGUCACCACUGUAAAAUUGUCGGCCUCCAGGAGAGUCGGCACUCUUCUCAUGAAGGCUAGUAGUGAACCACUGCAAUCGCUGUCAGUAUACUGUCGUUGUUGGAGUUGCCACCAAUCACCAACUUAGUCCUGACCCUGUGCCACUGCCGGCAAUUGUGAGUCACCGCCGGAAAAGAAGAGGAUUUGAGCAUGAGGUAAACUGUUGCUUGAAGAUGGUCAGCACGAUCUACAUUAGAG